UGCACACAUAACCCAAAGUUCAUUAACCUUUCUGUGUAAUGAUCUUGUCUGAUGUGCACAAAUAAUCUGCAUCCUGUCGCCUUCCAUGGACUGACGUGUCUGUGAAAGUGAAUACUGAGAUGCUACAUGU
rnacentral:snoRNA from 1 species